rnacentral:rRNA from 1 species
UACGAAGGGGGCUAGCGUUGCUCGGAAUCACUGGGCGUAAAGCGCACGUAGGCGGAUUGUUAAGUCAGGGGUGAAAUCCUGGAGCUCAACUCCAGAACUGCCUUUGAUACUGGCGAUCUCGAGUCCGGGAGAGGUGAGUGGAACUGCGAGUGUAGAGGUGAAAUUCGUAGAUAUUCGCAAGAACACCAGUGGCGAAGGCGGACUCACUGGCCCGGUACUGGACGCUGAGG